CCUACGGGGGGCAGCAGUAGGGAAUUUUCGGCAAUGGGGGGAACCCUGACCGAGCAACGCCGCGUGAACGAAGAAGUUAUUCGUAAUGUAAAGUUCUUUUAACAGGGAAGAAAGAGAAAUUUGACGGUACCUGAAGAAUAAGCUCCGGCUAACUACGUGCCAGCAGCCGCGGUAAUACGUAGGGGGCGAGCGUUAUCCGGAAUUACUGGGUGUAAAGGGAGCGUAGACGGCGAGGUAAGCCUGAAGUGGAAGCCCGCGGCCCAACCGCGGAACUGCUUUGGGAACUGUUUUGCUGGAGUAUGGGAGAGGUAAGCGGAAUUCCUGGUGUAGCGGUGAAAUGCGUAGAUAUCAGGAGGAACACCGGUGGCGAAGGCGGCUUACUGGACCAUAACUGACGUUGAGGCUCGAAAGCGUGGGGAGCGAACAGGAUUAGAUACCCUUGUAGUC
rnacentral:rRNA from 1 species